rnacentral:rRNA from 1 species
AACGCGCGACGGGUGAGUAACNCGUAUCCAACCUGCCGUCUACUCUUGGACAGCCUUCUGAAAGGAAGAUUAAUACAAGAUGGCAUCAUGAGUCCGCAUGUUCACAUGAUUAAAGGUAUUCCGGUAGACGAUGGGGAUGCGUUCCAUUAGAUAGUAGGCGGGGUAACGGCCCACCUAGUCUUCGAUGGAUAGGGGUUCUGAGAGGAAGGUCCCCCACAUUGGAACUGAGACACGGUCCAAACUCCUACGGGAGGCAGCAUG